CCCCAGACUCCUACGGGAGGCAGCAGUGGGGAAUAUUGGGCAAUGGACGCAAGUCUGACCCAGCAACGCCGCGUGAAGGAAGAAGGCUUUCGGGUUGUAAACUUCUUUUAAGGGGGAAGAGCAGAAGACGGUACCCCUUGAAUAAGCCACGGCUAACUACGUGCCAGCAGCCGCGUUAAUACGGAGGAUGCGAGCGUUAUCCGGAUUUAUUGGGUUUAAAGGGUGCGUAGGCGGGCUGCCAAGUCAGCGGUAAAAUUGCGGGGCUCAACCCCGUCGAGCCGUUGAAACUGGCGGUCUUGAGUGGGCGAGAAGUAUGCGGAAUGCGUGGUGUAGCGGUGAAAUGCAUAGAUAUCACGCAGAACUCCGAUUGCGAAGGCAGCAUACCGGCGCCCGACUGACGCUGAAGCACGAAAGCGUGGGUAUCGAACAGGAUUAGAUACCCUCGUAAC
rnacentral:rRNA from 1 species